rnacentral:piRNA from 1 species
UGCCAUGUGUGAGAGAAAGGCUAUGU